rnacentral:rRNA from 1 species
UACAGAGGCCUCAAGCGUUAUGCGGAAUCACUGGGCUUAAAGCGUGUGUAGGCGGCUGCCUAAGUACCUUGUGAAAUCCCACGGCUCAACCGUGGAACUGCUGGGUAUACUGGGCGUCUUGGGCCAUUCAGGGGCGACUGGAACAAGCGGUGGAGCGGUGAAAUGCGUAGAUAUCGCGUGGAACGCCGAAGGUGAAAACAGGUCGCUGGGGAUGUGCCGACGCUGAGACACGAAAGCCAGGGGAGCAAACGGG